UACGAAGGGGGCUAGCGUUGCUCGGAAUCACUGGGCGUAAAGGGUGCGUAGGCGGGUUCUUAAGUCAGAGGUGAAAUCCUGGAGCUCAACUCCAGAACUGCCUUUGAUACUGAGAGUCUUGAGUAUGACAGAGGUGAGUGGAACUGCAAGUGUAGAGGUGAAAUUCGUAGAUAUUCGCAAGAACACCAGUGGCGAAGGCGGCUCACUGGGUCAUUACUGACGCUGAGGCACGAAAGCGUGGGGAGCAAACAGG
rnacentral:rRNA from 1 species